GAUGAAGAACGUAGCGAAAUGCGAUAAGUAAUGUGAAUUGCAGAAUUCAGUGAAUCAUCGAAUCUUUGAACGCACAUUGCGCCCAUUAGUAUUCUAGUGGGCAUGCCUGUACGAGCGUCAUUAAGUCCACUUAAGCCCUGCUUAGUGUUGGGAGACUGCUCCAGCGGUGCUACCCUGUAGCUACCCUGCAGCUCCUCAAAGACAGCGGCGGAGUUGUGGUAUCCUCUGAGCUUAGUAACUUGUUCUAGCUUUCGAGUACACCACUUCCCCUGCCGUAAAACCCUUAAUUUUUAAUGGUUGACCUCGGAUCAGGUAGGAAUACCCGCUGAACUUAAGCAUAUCAAUAAGCGGAGGA
rnacentral:misc_RNA from 1 species